rnacentral:lncRNA from 1 species
GGAUGGAGGACAGGGAGUAAGGAUAGAGGACAAGGAGUAAGGAAGGAGGGCAGGGAGUAAGGAUGGAGGACAAGGAUAAGGGUGGAGGACAAGAAGCAAGGAUGGAGGACGUGGGUGGAGGACAGGGAAUGAGGAUGGAGGGCAUGGAUGGAGGACAAGAUGUAAGGAUGGAGGACAAGAUGUAAGGAUGGAGGGCAUGGAUGGAGGACAAGGAAUAAGAGUGGAGGACAGAGAAUAAGGAUGGAGGACAAGGAGUAAGGAUGGAGAGCGUGGAUGGAGGACAAGGAGUAAGGAUGGAGGACGUGGAUGGAGGACGUGGCACAAGGAUGUAGGACAAGGAUGAGGAUGGAGGGUAGGGAUGGAGGACAAGGAGUAGGGAUGGAGGAUAAGGAGUAAGGAUGGAGGACAUGGCACAAGGAUGCAGGGCAAUGAUAAGGGUGCAGGACAGGGAUGGAAGUCAAGGAGUAAGGAUGGAGGAUGUGGCACAAGGACGCAGGACAAGGAUAAGGAUGGAGGACAGGGAUGGAGGACAAGGAGUAGGGAUGGAGGAUAAGGAGUAAGGAUGGAGGACACGGCACAAGGAGGCAGGAUAAGGAUAAGGAUGGAGGACAUGGAUGGAAGACAUGGCACAAGGACACAGGACAAGGAUAAGGAUGGAGGACAGGGAUGGAAGUCAAGGAGUAAGGAUGGAGGACAUGGAUGGAGAACGUGGCAGAAGGAUGCAGGACAAGGAUAAGGAUGCAGGACAAGAAUAAGGAUGCAGGACCGGGAUAAGGAUGCAGGACAGGGAUAAGGGUGCAGGACAGGGAUAAGGAUGGAGGACAGGGAUAAGGGUGCAGGACAGGGAUAAGGAUGGAGGACAGGGAUAAAGGGAUAAGGGUGCAGGACAGAGAUAAGGGUGCAGGAC